rnacentral:rRNA from 1 species
GAUGAACGCUGGCGGCGUGCCUAAUACAUGCAAGUCGAGCGAACAGACGAGGAGCUUGCUCCUCUGACGUUAGCGGCGGACGGGUGAGUAACACGUGGAUAACCUACCUAUAAGACUGGGAUAACUUCGGGAAACCGGAGCUAAUACCGGAUAAUAUAUUGAACCGCAUGGUUCAAUAGUGAAAGACGGUUUUGCUGUCACUUAUAGAUGGAUCCGCGCCGCAUUAGCUAGUUGGUAAGGUAACGGCUUACCAAGGCAACGAUGCGUAGCCGACCUGAGAGGGUGAUCGGCCACACUGGACCUGAGCCCCGUUCCAGACUCCUACGGGAGGCAGCAGUAGGGAAUCUUCCGCAAUGGGCGAAAGCCUGACGGAGCAACGCCGCGUGAGUGAUGAAGGUCUUCGGAUCGUAAAACUCUGUUAUUAGGGAAGAACAAAUGUGUAAGUAACUAUGCACGUCUUGACGGUACCUAAGCAGAAAGCCACGGCUAACUACGU